ensembl:lncRNA
CCCCCCGAAAGGUGCCUUAUUGCUAUUAUAAACUGGUUACAAUGUAAUUAGAGCAGUAAAAAUGUAUGUUUUGUCAUACCUGUGGCUAUAGCACGGCUGUCAGCCAAUCAGCAUUCAGGGUUAGAACCACCCAGUUUAUAAUUUGUAAUAGAGAUGUAUCUGUAGAAUAUUUACUGUGUAUUGGAAGAGUUUACGUCCUCGCUUCAUUCUCUACUGUGGGAGUCAUGUUCGGGACUUUGCAUUUUAUUUCACUGCCUGUGUCUGUUUUCAUUUUCAUAUUGUUCAAAAUACACUGAUGGUUGUUCAGAAAAAGUCAUACUGUGAAGGGAACACUGGAUAAGUCAAGAGAGACACAUUUCUUAAAGCCACAAAUCUGGAAUUUGUACUUGUUUUGAUAUUCAGCUGAGGGAUGUGACAUGCAAAGGGACAUGUGAGAUUUUCUCAAGACUGACUUGGUGAACAGCUGGCUAGAACACAGGAGUAUUGUCCUUAUACACAAAAACAGUAUUUCAUCACUUUCUACAUCUGCACCUGAAGAGAUUCACCACUUGUCUUCACCAUGUCUGCAGGGUAGGGUAGCCUAGUGGUUAGAGCGUUGGACUAGUAACCGGAAGGUUGCAAGUUCAAAUAAAGGUCAAAUAAAAAUAAAUAAAAAAUUUACAUAGGGAAUAGGUUUCCAUUAGAGACAGUAGGGAAUAGGUUUCCAUUAGAGACAGUAGGGAAUAGGUUUCCAUUAGAGACAGUAGGGAAUAGGUUUCCAUUAGAGACAGUAGGGAAUAGGUUGCCAUUAGAGAUGCUAGGGAAUAGGUUUCCAUUAGAGAUGCUAGGGAAUGGGUUUCCAUUAGAGAUGCUAGGGAAUAGGUUGCCAUUGGAGACAGUAGGGAAUAGGUUUCCAUUAGAGAUGCUAGGGAAUAGGUUGCCAUUGGAGACAGUAGGGAAUAGGUUUCCAUUAGAGAUGCUAGGGAAUAGGUUACCAUUGGAGACAGUAGGGAAUAGGUUUCCAUUAGAGAUGCUAGGGAAUAGGUUGCCAUUGGAGACUCUAGGGAAUAGGUUACCAUGGGAGACUCUAGGGAAUAGGUUACCAUUGGAGACAGUAGGGAAUAGGUUACCAUUGGAGACAGUAGGGAAUAGGUUACCAUUGGAGACUCUAGGGAAUAGGUUACCAUUGGAGACUCUAGGGAAUAGGUUACCAUUGGAGACAGUAGGGAAUAGGUUACCAUUAGUGAAGCACAAUGUUACUUAUUUCAAAACAUUUACAGCACUAUAGUGCUGUGAACAGGUACAAUCUUUUUUCACACCCAGAUUUUUCCUACAUACUGUUUGCUGUUCUCCAGUAUUUAUUUGUGUUGGCGGUGCGAGGGGGUCCAUGUCCUUUGUCUUGUCAAGAUAAAGGAAACAACGACUGAAUCUUAGUAGUGUUGCACCAUAACAACACGCUCUUUAAUCUCAGACAACAACAGCAUUUAUUUUGUCUUCCAAAUGGCAGCCUAUUCCCUAUGGGCUCUGGUCUAAAGUAGUGCAUUAUAUAUAGGGAAUAGGGUGCCAUAGGGCUCUGGUCUAAAGUAGUGCACGAUAUAGGGAAUAGGGUACCAUAGGUCUCUGGUCUAAAGUAGUGCACUAUAUAGGGAAUAGGGUGGCAUAGGUCUCUGGUCUAAAGUAGUGCACUAUAUAGGGAAUAGGGUUCCAUAGGUCUCUGGUCUAAAGUAGUGCACUAUAUAGGGAAUAGGGUUCCAUAGGUCUCUGGUCUAAAGUAGUACACUAAAUAGGGAAUAGGGUGCCAUUUGGGAUGCACCCUGAACCUGAGAGUAUUCUAUGAUAUAAUUCACUGUACCUGGGUCCAGUCGAAUGUUUGGAGGACCGGUAAAUCAUAUCUUUCAAGUCUUUGUCUAUCGUUGUGGUUAUCAAGGAUAUCUGCCAAUGGGAUUUGUUCUGGUUGUGGUUAUCAAGGAUAUCUGCCAAUGGGAUUUGUUCUGGUUGUGGUUAUCAAGGAUAUCUGCCAAUGGGAUUUGUUCUGGUUGUGGUUAUCAAGGAUAUCUGCCAAUGGGAUUUGUUCUGGGAUUGAGGCGUACUAUAAUUAUCAGUCCUCUUUGUUGACCAAUCACCAGUAGGCCUAGCAGUUAGUCAUGAACCAUUUUGACCCUAUUGGAUUAGGACAUUCCUUUAUUCACCACACAGAGCUCUGUGGCAGGUAGCCUACUGGUUAGAGUGUUGGGCAGGUAACCGAAAGGUUACUUGAUCGACAUCCCCGAGCUGACAAGGUUAAGAAAUCUGUCGUUCUCCCCCUGAACAAGGCAGUUAACCCACUGUUCUCUGGUAGGCUUUCAUUGUAAAUAAGAAUUUGAAUUUGCAUAGUUAAAUAUUGGUAAAAAAAAAAAUCCCUAUUAUGCCCAAAGUCAUAAAGCCUCAAAGUUAGGAGUGUUGAUCUAGGAUCAGUUUAGUAUUUUAGAUCAUACUGAGUAAGACUACAUGGACAGGGAAGACCUGAUCCUAGAUCAGAAUGAAUAAGAUUACAUAGACAGGGAAGAUCUGAUCCUAGAUCAGAAUGAAUAAGACUACAUGGACAGGGAAGACCUGAUCCUAGAUCAGCCCCCCUACCCAAAGAGGCAUUCUGAAUAUGGGCCCGGAUAUAAACUACACAGCUGUGGGCUUGGUUCUAUCACACACCUCAAAUAUUAAUAACCAAAUGCACUUUUUUAAAAAUAUAUAUAAAAGGCACAUUUCUCACAUGUUUAUCAAUCCAAGCUAUGCAAUGCAAUGUAAUCUAGGGAAAAACACAGAAUUCACACCCUUAGGGGCUCUGACGUGAAUGAUGCGGAUGUUAGAUAAUGUUACCUGCGAGUGUACGGACGACUUCAGCACCAAGGUUUAAACUUGAUAUUCAAUGUGUAACUUUUACGAAUGAGUAUUUAUGGUUGUAUUUAUGAAUAACAAUGUGUCGGGGAGUGGUGUGUGUGUGUGUGUGUGUGUGUGUGUGUGUGUGUGUGUGUGUGUGUGUGUGUGUGUGUGUGUGUGUGUGUGUGUGUGUGUGUGUGUGUGUGAUUUCAACACUUUUCUUUUUGUAACAAUGUUUGAAUCCUCCACCCCCCACCCCCCCAAAAAUAAAUAUGUUCUGCA